rnacentral:rRNA from 1 species
GAUGAACGCUAGCUACGGGCUUAACACAUGCAAGUCGCGGGGCAGCAUGGGGGUUGCUUGCAAUCCCCGAUGGCGACCGGCGCACGGGUGAGUAACGCGUAUCCAACCUGCCCUUCACCACGGGAUAACCCGGCGAAAGUCGGACUAAUACCGUAUGUUGUCCAUUGACGGCAUCCGAUUUGGACGAAAGGUUUGGCGGUGAAGGAUGGGGAUGCGUCCGAUUAGCUGGACGGCGGGGUGACGGCCCACCGUGGCGACGAUCGGUAGGGGUUCUGAGAGGAAGGUCCCCCACACUGGAACUGAGACACGGUCCAGACUCCUACGGGAGGCAGCAGUGAGGAAUAUUGAUCAAUGGGCGUAAGCCUGAACCAGCCAAGUAGCGUGCAGGAUGACGGCCCUAUGGGUUGUAAACUGCUUUUAUGCGGGGAUAAAGUGGCCCACGUGUGGGUUUUUGCAGGUACCGCAUGAAUAAGGACCGGCUAAUUCCGUG